AGCCAUGGUAACUAAGUUGGUAGAGUGUUGGACUCAUACCCCAGUGGUUGUAGGAUCAGUACCUGCCCAGGUCA